UGGGGAAUAUUGCACAAUGGGGGAAACCCUGAUGCAGCAACGCCGCGUGAGUGAUGAAGGUUUUCGGAUCGUAAAGCUCUGUCUUUGGGGAAGAUAAUGACGGUACCCAAGGAGGAAGCCACGGCUAACUACGUGCCAGCAGCCGCGGUAAUACGUAGGUGGCGAGCGUUAUCCGGAUUUACUGGGCGUAAAGGGAGCGUAGGCGGAUGAUUAAGUGGGAUGUGAAAUACCCGGGCUCAACUUGGGUGCUGCAUUCCAAACUGGUUAUCUAGAGUGCAGGAGAGGAGAGUGGAAUUCCUAGUGUAGCGGUGAAAUGCGUAGAGAUUAGGAAGAACACCAGUGGCGAAGGCGACUCUCUGGACUGUAACUGACGCUGAGGCUCGAAAGCGUGGGGAGCAAACAG
rnacentral:rRNA from 1 species